CAAAAAGUAGCUUAAAACAAAGCAUUUAACUUACAAUUAAACCAUGUUAGAAAGUCUAACCUUUUUGC
rnacentral:tRNA from 1 species